ensembl:misc_RNA Metazoa_SRP Metazoan signal recognition particle RNA
GCUGGGCGUUGUGGCGGGCGCCUGUAGUCCCAGCUACUCGGAGGCUGAGGCGGGAGAAUGGCGUGAACCCGGGAGGCGGAGCUUGCAGUGAGCCGAGAUCGCGCCACUGCACUCCAGCCUGGGUGACACAGCGAGACUCCGUCUCAA